rnacentral:rRNA from 1 species
AGUGAACGCUGGCGGUAGGCCUAACACAUGCAAGUCGAACGGCAGCACAGUAAGAGCUUGCUCUUACGGGUGGCGAGUGGCGGACGGGUGAGGAAUACAUCGGAAUCUACUUUUUCGUGGGGGAUAACGUAGGGAAACUUACGCUAAUACCGCAUACGACCUACGGGUGAAAGCAGGGGAUCUUCGGACCUUGCGCGAUUGAAUGAGCCGAUGUCGGAUUAGCUAGUUGGCGGGGUAAAGGCCCACCAAGGCGACGAUCCGUAGCUGGUCUGAGAGGAUGAUAAGCCACACUGGAAGUGAGACAGGGUCAAGACUCCUAAGGGAGGGAGCAGUGGGGAAUAUGGGACAAUGGGGGCAAGCAUGAUCCAGCCAUACCGAGUGGGUGAAGAAGGCCUUCGGGUUGUAAAGCCCGUUUGUUGGGAAAGAAAAGCAGUAGGUUAAUACCAAGCUGUUGUGACGGUACCCAAAGAAUAAGCACCGGCUAACUUCGUG